GCCAGCAGGUUGUAUCCUCCAUCUCGCAGGCAGGAACCAGAGAGAGAAGCUGAGUUCCUUGUGAAGGCUGAAGGACAGACCUCUUCUGCCUGUCUGCCCAGAAAACUCGGAUACAGCUUUAAAUAAGCAAAUAGCCCAGCCCCCGUUACAGUUAUUCACAAAACCAUGUGCGAGCCGGUUACUGCCCAUCCUGUUUGGUAAGCCUUCGGUUCAUCUUUCUACCCGUUGAGAAGUGUCAUUUAGAGAAGCAGUGCUACAGGUAACUAACUUAGUGUGAUGGCGCGGGGUGGCUAUUUAAGCUAAUGGCUGAGCUGGGUGGAGUUACUUAAUCCUUACGGUAGGGGUGGGGCUUGACUCAACUCCUUUUCCACCAACAAGCAUUUCUUUCUCCUGUCAUUGAAGUGAAUCAUCGGUAUAAGUAGUGAGCUCGGUGCAUUCCUCCUCAUUUGUGUUAAACUUGCUGGUGGUCCCUCCGUGUUAGCAGAGGUGUGUGCGGGCAGCACUUCACCACAGGGGAAAAAGAAGGCGAGGCCAGGAGCCCAGGGGUCCUGGAGGUAGAUUGCCAGCUGUGUUAGUGCAACGCCAGCCCAAGCAGACGCUUCCGGCAGGAGAGGUGGCUUGUUUAUCGUGAGCCUUGAGGACAAUUAUAGUGAUCCGUAUGUGAAACUUUCAUUGUACGUAGCAGAUGAGAAUAGAGAACUUGCUUUGGUGCAGACAAAAACAAUUAAAAAGGUAAGUGUCCAUCCUUAUUAAACUUGAUUUGUCAUAAUUUAAUCCAAUUAAAUUACAUAUUUUGGCUCUGUAGAAGUUUAUAUUUUAAGUUUAAGAUGGCAAUAUUUUUAUUUUAAGCAUCUCCCAGGAUUAAAUCUAUAAAGUCAACGUAGACCAAACUUUUUAGUGUUAACCCAAGAUAUCGGUUCUGGCUUUUAGUUGAAUGAUUGUAAAAACAGUAUUCUUAAAGUAAGUAUUAUUACAAAUAAGAUUUUUUUUCCCCUGCAAAGAAUAUAGCAAAAUAAGGAUUUGUUCUUGUUGGCUGGUUAUUUUUUAUAAAGAAAUCUGAAAUAAUUUAAAAUACAUUUAAUGACAUGGAGUGGCUUGUGGAAUUGGUAGGCACAAAAAGAAUGGUUUAACAUGAAACAAGUAUUACCAAAGGGAG
rnacentral:lncRNA from 1 species